AAGACUAUAGACCUGCGGAGUACCUGCGGAAGGAUCAUUCACAAUAAGUGUUUUAUGGCACUUUAAUUCCAUAUCCACCUUGUGUGCAACGUAGUUCGUUUUUCGAACAAAACAUCAACAUUUUAAUUAUCAACAGAUCGUCUGAAGUAUUAUAUGAAUAAAUCAAUUCAAAAUACAACUUUCAACAACGGAUCUCU
rnacentral:misc_RNA from 1 species